rnacentral:rRNA from 1 species
CCGAAAGGCAGGAGUGCCUGCAAGGGAGCGCGGAGACAGGUGGUGCAUGGCUGUCGUCAGCUCGUGUCGUGAGAUGUUGGGUUAAGUCCCGCAACGAGCGCAACCCUCACCUCUUGUUGCCAUCAGGUCAUGCUGGGCACUCUAGAAGAACUGCCCCGGUCAACGGGGAGGAAGGCGGGGAUGACGUCAAGUCAUCAUGCCCCUUACGUCCUGGGCUACACACGUGCUACAAUGGCCGGUACAAAGGGAUGCCACACCGCGAGGUAGAGCUAAACCCAAAAAGCCGGUCUAAGUUCGGAUUGGAGUCUGCAACUCGACUCCAUGAAGGAGGAAUCGCUAGUAAUCGCGUAUCAGCACGACGCGGUGAAUACGUUCCCGGGCCUUGUACACACCGCCCGUCACACCACGAAAGCCAG